CUUGAUUUUAUUAUAACUACACAGAUAUUACUUAAAAAUUAUUAGGAGGUACAGCUACACCAAAGGUUACUUUCAGUAACAGAGAUUUCCCUACCAUGUAGAUCUCUCGACAGCCAUGUCCCAACAGGCUCUAAAUCGCUCAUACACAUACCGAGUACUGUUCAAAGCAGACUUGCUUUCAGCAAGAUUAAAUACCUGUUCAGUUUGAACUGUCCCGGUGCCAGGACAAACUACAACUCAACCAGUUCAGACAGCCACCCCACCAGGCACCAAUGGCCUCUGCAACUCCCAGCACCCCAGAUCUGCUGCUUCUGGGAUUUCUGCCAGGAGCUGUGGGGUAGCUCUCCGCUGAGGACAUUGCAAAUUAAAUAUUCUAGAAGUGUGCUUGUGUUUACGUGGAGCGAGGCUGCAACAGUUCAGAAUAUGAGUCAGUACGGUUUGCAUCUACGGAACUGAGCAGCACAGUUAGAAACAGUGCAUUUUCGAGGAAGCGGGGGGGUGUGAAACAGUUCACCCAGGGGAACAGUCAGGCUGCACCUGGCAGGAGCCAGCACUCACCUGGAGACAGCAAUUUGCUCCAGUACCUCACUGCUCCAGAGCCCACGAUUUUCCCAUAGUAAUGUCAGAAGUUUCUGCACAGGAGAGGCACUUUGGUCCUGCCUGUAUCGGGGAGGCUAACAACGGUACAGCCAGACAGGCUGACAGGCAUGCACACCCACAGUGUGGCUCCGAGCCUUACUUUUUUGCCUUGCUUAAAGUGGAAGCUGAAAUAUAGUUCUGAUCAGAACAGCAAAGAAAAAAAGUUAAAAGCAGCUCGAUUAGUUAACGCCACAGCAUCCAAUAAAGUCCUCGGAUGGAAAAGCAGAGCAGAACUGAAGAAGAGCAGCCUGUCCCCGUGCAUCUCACCAUGCUGGUACUUAUGGCCAGGUGCGUUUUAAGGCCAGCACCCCUUCAUCGAGGCACAGGAGAACAGCGUGCCCUCCCAGGGAGCCCUUCUGGCAGCCGUUGGAGCACACAGCCGCUGAGCACACCAGAGGAGCACCGCUGUCUCUCAGGGAUCUGAUGCAGGACGGUUCCUCUGCAAACACAGCUGGAGCCCCUGGCUGCCCCGUGCACACGGCUGUGGGACAGCACAUCUCAGCUCCGGCCACGCUUCAGCUCCCAGAGCACAGCAGCCCACACAAAAAGCUGCGUACGGCUCCGUUGUCGCAAACCUUAGCCGUGCGAAAUCUGUCGAGACGUUCCCAUUCUGAAGCGGCUUUUGUUUUCAUUUUGAACAGAAAAGAUUAAGACAACCACAAGCUGAGAACACUUUUCGGUAUGAUACAGUUCGCUCUGCUUCUCAGGAAGCACGCGAUCCAAGCAGGGCAGCUCACACCGGUAGCUCAGAGCGCACACCGGUGCGGGACGCUGAGCGGGAACGGGGCUACCACAGGGCUGACAGCUCCCGAACACCCACAAAAGCACCGCAACCAAGCGGCUAACUUGCACUUCCCAUCCGCACCCCCAGCCCCGGGCUGCUGCCCCCCGCCGAGUAAUAAACCUGAGCACAGCUGAUCUUCGCGAGACCGCUUAAAUCUCUCUUAAGAGAGCCAUAAUCCGCCAUCACGUGCAGCAUUAAGGAGCAUUACGAGUAAAACAGAUCCCGAGGUGUCAGUAAGCAGUCGGCUGCGGCGCCGGGCACCGCGCUCGCCGCUACCCGUAGCACGCCCUGCCCAAGCGCUUCCGCGCACCACGAACACGAACCUCAGCACCGCGAUAAAGGCUCUUUCUUCACACCACACGUGCGCGCCGCCGUCGCCUUUCUCCAGCUGAAAGCGGGAUCAGAACUCUGGGCCGGCCCAACCGCCCGAGCCCGGCGCCGUCGGGAAGCGCCCAGCGCGGGCGGCAGAUAAAAAAGGCGGCAGCUUCUCACUGGAACCACCAAGGAAUUUUGAUCCUGUAAGAAAUGCACUAUAAAAUGGGCCUGAGAGGGCUGUCUGAGUGGGGGAAAGUGCAAUUGGAUGUUACGUUUGCUUUUGUUGUGAUUGAUGUGACUCUGUCCGAUUUAUUUUCAAAUAUCAGAAUGGGUUCUGGAUGGAACUCUUGCAACCAAAACCUGUGAUCCAUUUGCCAAGAGCUGUUUUUACUCCAGUUGAGAACCGAUUUGUCUGGAUUUUGCCUUAGGCACAGUCCUUACCAUCUUCUGCCAGAGAUUUUUUCCCCCUGCAGACUUAAUCCAGGAUCCAGAUACAUGAUUGUUUAAAAUUUACAUUUAAAAAGGAGUAAAAGAUUGAUUGGAAUUCCAGGGGAGGAGAAGGAGGCAUGAUGAUAUAUUGGAAUCUUUUGUUCCCAGAAGAACCAGGAAAGAAUUAAGAUUAUUAAAGAAACGUAAUUUGGGUCAGACCAAGCAUCUAAAUCCACAUCAGUUAAAAAGAUGAUUUUCCCUACAUUUUUAAUGUGUUUGACACAAGCGUGUUUGAUUUAUGAUGGGAGUCAAAACCAUCUGUAUUUGGGGAACAAGCACAUACUUAUUUAAACAAUGGGGCUGCCUGGGGGGAGGCAUAGGAAAGAAAUGACAUUCUUUUGCAAAGAAUUCGGUGUUUUUCACUCCAUGAAGUAACUGGCACUGGUUUGAAAAGUGCUCUGCAGCAGGAACAGUAGCUCAACCUAUCUUAAAGGAGUCCAGCAGUUUACCUUUAUGCAAUUGGUAUGAUAGUGAACAAGGUUAUCACUGAUAAAGCUCUGCUAUUCCCUACUUUCCUUUCAGUGACCCCUGUGAAGAGAAUUGGUCUCAUUGGGCACCACUGAAAAGAGCCUGGCCCCAUUCAUUGGACUCCCUCCCUUCAGAUAUUAGGGACUUGUUCUAACUGCAGAUGAGGCUGAAGCAAAGGAACCGUUUCCUGAACAUGUCCUCAGCUCUCAUCUUGUGCUGAAAUAGUUUAUUUGAAGUUUUUCAGGGAAGAAGUGUUGAGGGCUAUCAGGAUGACAUCUACAGCGUUAAGUUUUAGCCUGUGCUGGGUGGAGAUUCCAUUCUGUAACCAGAUGCUGUGCUCCAUAUGGAUUGAUAUGAUUAGAAACAGGCUUGGAAAUAACAUUUAACUUUACCAGUCAGCUUCCCAGAGCUCCGUAAGCCAUGUGAAUGGAUGUUGUGCCCGCUGCUUCCUUUAAAUGCAUAACCUUGAAUCCAAGCAUCCCUGCACGUAGGGGACCUUCUUGGCAAGCUGUGGAACUGAUCUCCAAAGCUCAACACAGUCGAUAUCCCAUGACAAAGAUGUGCCUCACUGUAAAGCCCAGUGUAAACUAUGAACGUCAACAAAGGGGCCAGAGGAGAGACAGAAAUAUGUCUGCCCCUGCAAGGUUUCCACAUACGGAGAAAGCAGAAAGUAACAAUCUGCAUUUCAGCUGCUUUUCUAAAUGAAUGUAUUCAACCAUGUGGCGGGCCGGUAGCUUUCUCUUCCUGUGUGAGGCUAUGCCAAACUCGAGCGAGGAAGCCCAGGGUCUUUUAAAAGAAGGUGAGAAAAACUCAAUGGCAAGUGUAGAAUUUUAGAAAAGAGCCAAAGCCUCUGUCCACCCUCAGAAGAGCAGAACGACAGAGCUCUGGCAGCCACUGCAGCCACCACCGAUUUAUUUACGAGUUCCUGGAGUCGAUCCAGUGUAAUUAUGGGCCUGAACUCCAGAUCAGAUUCACUUGACAUUUGAGAAAGUCUGUGGAAAAACAGUAAUAAUAAACUGAUAAUAACCAUCCGUCUCGUAAGCAAUGAGAAAUAAAGGGAAGAGAAAGGGCAGGUGGGGAGAGGGGAAGGCAGCAUAAUCCCCAAAAGAUCUCCUGUUUGUCAGGAGAUACUCUCAGUGUACAACCCUGUGUAUUUUCUAGAAAGAGCUGCAGAGAAUUUUGGAGUAAGUCCUGAAUCAUGUCAAUGCUUUUGCUAUUACUGCACUGGAAAAAAUGAAGAUGGUGGGUGCAGAGGAAGCUGGGAUAAGUUGGGACGGCAGUUUCUCUUGGUGGAGCAGAUAGUUUGUGGCCCACAUGGCAUUUAUCCGAGCGUGCUCAUCACCUAAAUUACGUUACCAUGAAACCGUUGGCUUUGGAAAAAGAUGUUUGAAGAAACUAUGCUUCGGCGUUUGAUUUAUUUUCAAAUUCAUGCACUGAGUAGAAAUAGGCUUUGUUUGUAUUGUACUUUAUUGCAAGUCUCUCAUUCUGCCAGUUCAUAUCAUCGGUAUAACACGGAUGAGUAUUAGGGUUAAAAAUAUUUGUAUUUAAAACAUCUGCAGUCUUAUAUCAGGAUUUAUAUCCCAUUGUUUGAUCCUUCCCAUCUGAAUCACCCCGUAUUGUUUCCUAUUGAAUUGCUGGGAGAUGGCCUCACAAAGCAAACUCUCUGGGAGGUUUCCAGAAAAAAAAUAUUUUUCAAGUAAGAUAAGUUGAUUAAUUCUGCUGAAUGGAAAAGGCUUCUUCUAUGACAAGAAAGAGGCCUGACAUUUAGUUUACAGUUGUCUCAAGUAUUUUAUUUCAGGUGAUGGAAUUGAAUUGCAAGUUAUGAGUGAAUGUUUAAUGAAGCAAGAAGAGUUACGUUUGUGCUACAUCCAAACAGCAUUUGGUUUUCUCAGAGGGAGCAUUCCAGUUAGUUGCUCUCAUCAGACAACAACCAAAUGUCGAGUGCCCUGGCAAUCAACACCGAGCGCCGUAACACUAGACGGUAUCUGAAGGAAAAGGAAUCCUGGGUGGAUGAAUGGGGUUAGUGGCCCAGAACAUGUCAUCUUCAAGUGACCUGCUUCGCCACACUCACGUAACUUCUCAGGAACACCUCCCUUGCAACAUGGGCAGUGUAGCUCCAGUUGUGAAGGAGAAAGGAUAUCGAAAAAGGAACAGCCACAGCUGUAUGCAGAACAAUGAAUGCGCACUUCUUUGAGCUCAGUCUCUGUGAACUGCACACGUUGGUUGUUCAGCCCGUUCUUCCUGAUCUGACAAUGCUCAUGAAAUUCUGCAAGGCUUUGUUGUAGAUGGUCGGCUGUGUUUGCAUCCAAACCACUGAACUCGGCGGAAUGUUGGAGCACAGCACUAUUGGAGGCACACUGAAUAAAGCUUUCAACUACUGACAGCAUCUGAAGAACAUCAGGAAAAUGCUGAAAGCCUAGAAAUCUGUGGCCUAUGUGGCUCCAUAGGCAGCUCUGGGCACUACUCAGAGAUCCAGUAAUAUUCAAAGAUUCCAGUGAUAUUCCAGCAUGAAGCCGUGCCUUGGUGUCUUCAGCUGGCGCUAGAACUGCCUAGCAAGUAAUAUAAUAGCUGGAGGGAAAAAAAAAUGGUGUAAUGCAGCAUGGCAACAAAUCUCUCUUCACUAAUACGUUCCGAAGAAUGGCUGCUGAAGCUGGGGAUGACCAAGGGAGCACCGAGUGCCUGGGAGAAUCUCUGCAGAGUAGUUGCAUUGCUGUGAACUCCACCAUGCUGCUGGAAUAGAAAGGAAGAGCCAGAUCAGAAGCAGUCACACAGGAGAAGGUUUCUGAAAGCCCAGUGGGCUUUAUGUCAUGAGAAGGUCACGAGCAGUGAGCUGUCAAACUGUGCAUUGAGGCCUUACUUCUGCUGUAAAGUUAUGGCUGUAUUACUGUACCAGGUAGUGGAAAAUCAGGCUCAACAGUUAUUCUUCAUUAAAUGUAAAAUGUUUGCAUUUUAGCCAAUUAAAAUAUCUCAGUGUGUUCAAAUAAUCUGUAAAUCCAUGAUUCUGGAACCUGCCCAGAACUAAUUUAAAAAGCCAGUACCUGUAACAAAGACGUCACAAGUCAAAGAAUAUUAAAAGUGCCUUACUGUUCUAUAAAAUGAACACAGUUGGGUGAGAUUGCUCAGUCAGCAGGGUUGGUCAUGCUUGAGCAGGCUUAGCUCACUUUAAGUGCACCCUCUUACCUUAGGGUUGGGUCUUCUACCUGUGCUUCUCUGGUUCUCCACUGUAUUCCUAGUGCUGGGCAGGCACUUUGUAAAUAAAUAUUUUCCAAUUUGAAAAUGCCAGUUCAACAGUGGGAACUGGUAUCAAGUUGUGUGUUUCAAAUUGGAAGCAUUCAUUCUUAGUAAAAGAGAAUUUGUUCAAAGCUCAUUGCAAAGCUUUUGGAAUUGAAUGCUUCUUAUUUACAAUGCCUCUUUCAGAAAAGCUCUUUUAAAAAAUAAAAACAUUUUAAUAAAAUGGUAUAUUUCUAUUGACAGGGCAUUAGGGGAAUGUUUUAUUACACGGGAAUUUACAAAUUCUCUGGUCUUUUUUCCUCUUCAAACUUGGACAUAUUUCAAAAUGUCAGAAUUUCCUGUGGAACAGAAUUUUCAGUUCUGACAUACCCUUGUCUGUUGAGCCCUUAGAAUGAAGAACAGUCAUUAACAUUGGUAAUCAGCCAACAAACCCAAACUUGCAGGAGAGACAAAAAAGGUUAAGAGAGAGAGAGAGAGUAGAAAUACCUUAUGCAGACUUUUGUACUCAGCAUGUCCUCAGUAACUCAAGCAUACACACAAUUGUCUCUCUAACUGAACUUAGGUAUGGGAGCUUUCUAGCCCUAAACCUCUGACAUUGUUGUAUAAAGGAGGCAUCAGUGGUAUGGUACAACCCAUUCUUCAAAUCAUUUUUUUCAGCAAGCUGAAAAAUAAGGAAUAAGAUGAUAGGCUUUGUUUAAAUCUGUAGCAAAAAUAAUCACUCAUAAAGUCAUGGAAUGUGGAUGCAAGCAUUUGGGGCCUUUUAAAGCUGCCUUGCUUUGCUCAGCUGUACUACUUCAACUACUCAUUGUUGGCGUACUUGAAUCUUCAUCUACAAACUUGGAAAUCUCAAUUCCCCAUCUGAGUUAAAAGUCUAUAAUUUAUGUCCACAAAGUCUUCUGUUUUUUUUUUCAAGGAAAUUUAUCAAGUGGUUUCUCUGUCUCAAAUCCCCUUUCUGAAGAUUAAAAGAGGGAAUAUCUAAAGAAGAUAUAAUAUCCGGUGGCAUUCAGCUACUCAAUAAGAUUGAUUCUGCCUAAGAAGACGAUGGAUAAUUCACACUAUCGGACCAAUUUUCUUUUAAUUCCUAGAAAUGCUUCCAUCAGAUCAUAUACACCAAUGUAGACAAAGAGAGAGAGAUGUGGAGAGAUUUGUAGACAUCAGUAAAUACAGCCAGUUAACUUUUGACGAACUGAGGACCAGAGAAAGAAUAGCUAAUGAUUUGGAAGGAGGUUCUGUGGUACUAUUGCUUUUAAAAGAAAUAAUUUAAAAAAGGAACCAAAAAAUGUUCAGGGCUUUGUUUAUUACAAGAAUGUAUAAAUCUGGGUGCACAAAGAACAAAUAUGCUAUCUACAUAAAACACUUCAGUUUCCUGGCUCCUCCUACUUGGAUUUACUGGAUUAUAGCCAAGGAGUCGUAACUGCCAGAUUUUUCUCUAACAGAAAACCCAUCUGAGCGGAAUUUAGUAUUGGCAGAGGAUGUUUGGAGACAUGUGUGAAAAAUUAGGAACCCUUUAAGGGAAGAAGUCACCCAAUUAAAAACGUGCAGAAAAUAAUCCAUCAUACAUUCCCAUCAAAUCCCUUUUGCUUUCAAGUACCAAAAUAAUGACUGGAUGAGACCCGAGUUGAGUCUAGAGCUGGCUGAACUGCUUAUUGUGGAUUGAACAUUGUUUUUGAAGGGAGAAAAUUCUGAAAUGAGCUUUUUAAUGUUUUUAGUCUUGAUUUUAAGUUCUUUCCCUGUGGAAUAUUUUUGCAUUAAUAAUAUUCAGUGUUUUGGCUGUUUGAAUGAGCUUUCUUCAAGCGUUUUAGUGUAUUUGUACGUGCCAUGUGUUUGUACUUUCAAGUAGUGUUUUUCCUGUCUGGAUGACUCUUAAAUUUUAAAUAGGAUCACAAAUCAAUGAAUGAAAACAUCAAACUGUCACAUAUUCAGUUUCAAGAGGAUAAUCACUUUCUUAAAACGUAUGAAACAUUUGUAAUCACAGGCAUUUGGACGAAGCGCUCAGUGAUUUUCUAAAAAGCAGCACAAUAAUAAUACUAAUUAACAGAUCACAUUCUGCAGCUUAUGAGCAACCAUAUUUGCUACUUAAGAGGCUUUUAGUUUUGCUUUGUAAAUACUGACUCAACUCUACCAUAAUGCGUGUGGUACAGGACCAGUAGAAUGUAAAACAGGGAGUUAGUUUUUCUGUUGUGCUGAGAAAACCAAAAAGCUGCAAAGGAAAGAAAGCUCAGUGUUCUUCUUCUUCUUUUUUUUUUUUUCUUCACCCCAAAAUAGAGCUAAGUGUUGGAUUUCACAAUUUUGUAAUUAUUAAUCAAAGCACAUUCUUCUUCAAAGUAAUAGCCCCAUUUUUAUAGAAAAAGUCAAAAUAAUUUCCUUAUUUCCAUAGUUAAAUAUUUACUUUCCAACAUUAUGAAACCUUUGAGUGGCAUUCAUUUCAUCAGCUAUAAGAAUCACAGUUUCAAAUGCAUACCCUUGAACAAAAUAAAUUGACCUCCAGACAUGCCUGUUUCUCCACAUUGGCUAAAACUUUGGGGUUAGACAAAAUGCUUAACUUAGUCUUGGCUACAGAUAAGUAUUUUCCCAAAAGAAACUCUCCCCAAGCCUGUCUUUUUUGGAGUAGGUUUGAAAUUGCUUUACAUAUUGAACUCUUAAGUAUGUGAUUGCUUGUCAGCUCAAACUUGAGUUACUCCGCAUAUUUGGUUCGGCUUCACAUCUGAAGAAUGCCCCAGAGAGAGAAAUGAUCAUAUAGCCUUUACUUCUCUACCGAAUUUAAGUUCCAUUAUUUUUUCCCAUUUUAUCUCUUUUAUCAUAGCUGCAGGGUAUGUUACAGAGUUAUCCUUUACUCUGCUAAUCAAGAAGAAUGUGUCUAUUAUUCUCUACAUUUAUUUCAUAG
ensembl:lncRNA